rnacentral:rRNA from 1 species
CCUACGGUGAGCAGCAGUCGAGAAUCAUUCACAAUGGGGGAAACCCUGAUGGUGCGACGCCGCGUGGGGGAAUGAAGGUCUUCGGAUUGUAAACCCCUGUCAUGUGGGAGCAAAUUAAAAAGAUAGUACCACAAGAGGAAGAGACGGCUAACUCUGGGCCAGCAGCCGCGGUAAUACAGAGGUCUCAAGCGUUGUUCGGAAUCACUGGGCGUAAAGCGUGCGUAGGCUGUUUCGUAAGUCGUGUGUGAAAGGCGCGGGCUCAACCCGCGGACGGCACAUGAGACUGCGAGACUAGAGUAAUGGAGGGGGAACCGGAAUUCUCGGUGUAGCAGGGAAAUGCGUAGAUAUCGAGAGGAACACUCGUGGCGAAGGCGGGUUCCUGGACAUUAACUGACGCUGAGGCACGAAGGCCAGGGGAGCGAAAGGGAUUAGAUACCCCAGUAGUC